rnacentral:tRNA from 1 species
AAGGCCUUAUCUUAAUUAAAGUAUCCGGGUUGCAUUCGGGUGAUGUGGGUUAGUGUCUCACAGGUCUUA